CAGAAACCACCACCUGACGUCCUUGAAAUUCCUGGUCCUAUCUUGUCCGGCAGAGCAGAGGAGAAUCCCCUGCGUGCGAGACGUGCAGUCCUGGAUCUGCAUGUCUAGGGACAAGGAUUCUCCUCCCCACUGAUGCCCUUUGACAUCCUCUGAUGAGCAGCGCUGCCCUCU